CCAACGGCUCUUUUAAGAGCCACCCACACUUUCCCUAAAGGAGCUG
rfam:Amazona aestiva scaffold_1371, whole genome shotgun sequence.